UCCCCGUUGCCGAGGCAGUCUUGCAAGAAAAAUUUAACUUGCAACGAGGGUUGCGCUCGUUAAGGGACUUAACCCUACAUCUCACGACACGAGCUGACGACGGCCAUGCAUCACCUGUCACCAGUCCAGCCGAACUGACUCUCUUGUUUCCAAGAGAUAAAACUGGGAUGUCAAGUCUUGGUAAGGUUCUUCGCGUAGCCUCGAAUUAAACCACACGCUCCACCGCUUGUGCGGGUCCCCGUCAAUUCCUUUGAGUUUUAAGCUUGCGCUCGUACUCCCCAGGCGGGAUGCUUAACGCGUUAGCUUUGCUACCGAGCGGGUCGAUACGCCCAACAGCUAGCAUCCAUCGUUUACGGCGUGGACUAC
rnacentral:misc_RNA from 1 species